UACGUAGGGUGCGAGCGUUAAUCGGAAUUACUGGGCGUAAAGCGUGCGCAGGCGGCGCGUUAAGACAGGUGUGAAAAGCCCCGAGCUUAACUUGGGAAUUGCGCUUGUGACUGGCGUGCUGGAGUGUGGCAGAGGGAGGUGGAAUUCCACGUGUAGCAGUGAAAUGCGUAGAGAUGUGGAGGAACACCGAUGGCGAAGGCAGCCUCCUGGGCCAGCACUGACGCUCAUGCACGAAAGCGUGGGGAGCAAACAGG
rnacentral:rRNA from 1 species